rnacentral:rRNA from 1 species
GACGAACGCUGGCGGCGUGCCUAACACAUGCAAGUCGAGCGGGGACAAUUGCUUCGGUGAUUGUUCUAGCGGCGGACGGGUGAGUAACGCGUGAGCAACCUUUCUCUCAGUGGGGAAUAACACAGGGAAACUUGUACUAAUACCGCAUGAGACCACAACAUCGCAUGGUGCAGGGGUCAAAGAUUUAUCGCUGAGAGGUGGGCUCGCGUCUGAUUAGAUAGUUGGUGGGGUAACGGCCUACCAAGUCGACGAUCAGUAGCCGACCUGAGAGGGUGAUCGGCCACAUUGGGACUGAGACACGGCCCAAACUCCUACGGGAGGCAGCAGUGGGGAAUAUUGGGCAAUGGGGGAAACCCUGACCCAGCAACGCCGCGUGGAGGAAGAAGGUUUUCGGAUCGUAAACUCCCGUCCUCAGGGAAGAGUAGAAGACGGUACCUGAGGAGGAAGCCCCGGCUAACUACGUG